UUGCUAACCAAGGAUUACUUGGAUCUUUAUACGAAGAAGAACGUAAGAGUAUACGAUAGAAGUAGUUUUCGAAUGAUCAUCUAUGUGAUGAUGAUAACCCCUUGAACUUAAGCAUAUCAUUA
rnacentral:rRNA from 1 species